rnacentral:rRNA from 1 species
GACGUAGGGCGCGAGCGUUGUCCGGAUUUAUUGGGCGUAAAGAGCUCGUAGGCGGCUUGUCGCGUCGACCGUGAAAACUCACAGCUCAACUGUGAGCCUGCGGUCGAUACGGGCAGGCUAGAGUUCGGUAGGGGAGACUGGAAUUCCUGGUGUAGCGGUGGAAUGCGUAGAGAUCCGGAAGAACACCGGUGGCGAAGGCGGUCUGCUGGGCAGUUGCCGACACUGAGGCGCGACAGCGUGGGGAGCAAACAGG